CUCCUCCUCCUCUGCAUGCGUCUGGAUGGGGAAGAGAGCUCUGCUCCGGGGGGGGGGUCUCCCUGCCCCAUCCUCCCCUUCCACGGAAACUGGCACCUGAUCAGCCACCGCCAGUCCAGAGGAUUGGGGCCUAGCCCCUUCCAGAGGCCACUUGCUAUCCGCCUAGGGUGGGGAGGGGGCCAGGAAGGCCUGUCUUCUCCUGGGCAGCCUCCCGCACCAUGUGUGUGGGGGGGAGAGAUUCUGGGGGGGGACGCAACCCGCUGCACCUCUCCUUCCUGCCCGGCCUGCUUUGCUUCCUCCGAGGAGUUCCGGGCAGCGCAGAAUGCUCAUCCUCCCUCCCCCCCACCUUGUAUCCUUGCAGAAACAACAACCCAGCAAGGGUCAGAAUGCAAGCCCCCUGCCGGCCACGCCUCAGCCUGCAGCAGCCCGGAGGCCUUCUCGCCCCCCCAGAUUGCUGAAGACGAGGUCUUCUUUGGCAGCAUGGCCGAGGAGAGGGAGGAGGAGGAGGCGGCCUCUUCUCCGGAGCCGGACGGCUGCCUGGGCGCCCCCCACAGCAGCACAGAGGACCUCCUCUCCAUCGAUUCGGCUCUCCAGGGCUCGGAGUAUUACAAGGACCUGGGCCUCGGCGGCCCCCUGGAGCCCCUGAUGGCCAAGCAGCCGGAGUGGCCACCCCCUCGCUCCUCGGCAGAAAGCCCCGGGGGCUUCCAGGAGGCCGUGGGGGGCCACUACCUGGACACGGCGUGUGCCUGCUCAUGCAGCUCCGGGAGCCAGGGGGGCUUCGUGGCGCUGGAGGCUGGAGCCCUGGAGGUGGCUUUCCCGGUGCUGGUCAGGGCCAUGUCCACCUCACGGCGAUACAGCUGGGGAAGCCCCCUCUCCCCCGCAGAAGCCCAGCAAAGGCUCAGCUUCAGCGCCUCAGAUCCCGGGAGCGAUGCAGAGAAGGAGGACAGCAGGGACCAGAGCUCCCUGGGCUUGCCCCCACCUCUGCCCCUGCCCCAGACGGGGCUGGCCACUGGGGAAGGCACCGUGAUCCAGGUGCAGAUCAAGCCUUUGGGCCUGGACCUUGUGUGCGAUCCGGACGAUGGGGAGUCUGGCAGCCCUGGCAAGGGCCUGAGGUCCCAGUCGGUCCCGUCCCCCGCCGACAGUGUCGCCUCUCCACGAAUGUCCCGAAGCCCGGAGGUCUCGCUCCCAGACACUGUGGGAAUCGUGUCGCCUGGGCUGGAGAUGGUGGAGAAGGAGCACAUCCCCCCGGAACAAGUGCUGAUGGUUCAGCAGGUGCUGAAGGAACUAGAGCAGUACCACAGUGCUAAGCAAGGGUCCUGUGCACCAGAAGACAGCGCUGAGGCCCAGCAGAACCUCACCUGGUUCGAGUUCCUGGCGCAUGAGAGUGAGGAGAGCAGGAAGAGCGACAAGGCCGAACCGGGCAGCAUCAAGGUCAAGCGCCGGCUGAGCAAUCUGCGCAGCCGCGUCACCAGCUCUAAGGAGAAGGGUAAGAACAAGGACCAGGAGAAGGAGGCCACGGAGGCUGCCCAGGAGCAGAGGCAAGCCGUGCAGGGGCAUGCGCUGGUGCGGGGUGCUUUCUCAGGUCACACCUGCUGCUCCCUCUGUGGCAAGGCGCUGCUGAACAACACCGGGCUCCAGUGCUUGCAUUGUGCCGUCAACGUCCACAAGAACUGCAAGGAGCUCCUGCCGGAGUGCCCGGGUGCCCAGCUCAAGCCAAAGGAGCCGCCGUCACGGCCCCCGGGGGGCGCCCCAGACAGUUCGCUCCAGAGCUCCUGUGCAGCCAGCGCGCUGAAGGAGCCCCCUCCCCGCAGUGCCCUCCUGGGCCCCGAUGGCACCCCGGGCCCGCCCCGGCACCCUCCCGGCAUGACGAUCGUGCAGAGGGGGAGCUCUCCGCCUCCGCUGAGCACCUCCGCAGGUGCUGUCGGGCAGCUCAGGCUCCUCAGUGGAGAGAUGGACGAAGCCGACGCUGGGCUGAAGCCGGCCUCCGAGGACGUGCUGGUGCCGGCCGCGUCUGAGCCUGUCUUCGUGGAAGAUGCUCACUUGGCCGCCUUGCAGAACGAGCUGGAGGCCGACGCCCGCGAGUUCGAGGCGGAGUCCUGGAGUCUGGCUGUGGAUCCGCUGUACGCGAAGAAGCAGAAGAACGUCCUCAAGAGGCAGGACGUCAUCUACGAACUGAUGCAGACCGAGAUGCACCACGUCCGCACCCUGAAGAUCAUGCUGAAGGUCUACUCGCGGGCCAUGCGGGAGGAGCUGCAGUUCGGCAAUGCCGUCGUCCACCGGCUGUUCUCCGGGGCGGACAAGCUGCUGGAGCUGCACGCGGCCUUCCUCCUCCGGCUGAAGGAGCGGCGCCGGGAGGCCCUGGAGGAGGGCAGCGAGCGCAACUACGUCAUCCGGAGCAUCGGGGACCUCCUGGUGCAGCAGUUCUCGGGCGAGCCGGGCCAGCGGAUGACGGAGCAGUACGGCCUCUUCUGCAGCAGGAGCACCGAGGCCAGCGGCCACUACAAGGCGCUGAUGCAGCACAGCAAGAGGUUCCAGGCCUUGAUCCGGAAAAUCAGCCAGUCUUCCAUUGUGCGGCGGCUGGGCGUGCAGGAGUGCAACCUGCUGGUGACCCAGCGCAUCACGAAGUACCCCAUCUUGCUGGAGCGGCUCAUUCAGAACACAGAAGCCGGCACCAAGGAGUACGAGGACCUGAGCCAGGCCCUCUCGCUGAUCAAGGAGGUCCUCACGGCGGUCGACGCCAAGGUCAACGAGUGCGGGAAAGGGCAGCGCCUCCGGGAGAUCGUGGCCCGGAUGGAGCUGAAGUCCCUGGGCAAGUUCAAGAACGGCCUGGUCUUCCGGAAGGAGGACAUGCUCCAGCGGCGCCUGCUGGUGGACGGGAUGCUGCACUGGAAGGCCGCCUCGGGGAGGCUGAAAGAAAUUCUGGCGGUCCUGCUGACGGAUGUGCUGCUGCUGCUGCAAGAGAAGGACCAGAAAUACACGUUUGCCUCUGUGGAUGCGAAGCCGCCGGUGAUCUCCUUGCAGAAGCUGAUCGUCCGGGAGGUGGCCAACGAGGAGCGCGCCAUGUUCUUGAUCAGCGCCUCCCUGAAGGGCCCAGAGAUGUACGAGAUCCACACCAACUCCAAGGAGGACCGGAACACCUGGAUGGCACUGAUCCGCCAGGCUGUGGAGAGUUGUCCUGACGAAGAGGCGGGGGCCUUUGGCGACCCGAAGGAGGAGAGGAGGCAGGUGGAAGUGAGGGCAGCCAAGCUCAAGGAGUUCCAAGACCGCCUGAGCGCGAAGGAUGCCCUGAUUGUGCAGAGCCUGAACGAGAAGCAGCAGAUCUACCAGGAGAUGGUGGAGCUGAGCAGCUGUGAGGACCUCCGCCCGCCCCGGCUCAUCUGCAGAGCGGAGUCCCCGGAGAACCUGCAGGGGGAGGCCCUCCUCAGGCGCGCCGUGAUGGAAGCGGAGAGCCUGCAGACCCUGCUCUUGGCCCAGCUGGGGAGCGUGGCCUCUCGCCCGGAGGACGCCGGUGGUUCGGGCCAGCUGAGGCGAGCGGAGACCUUUGGGGGAUAUGACUGUGCUGCCGUGGCGGAUCCGGCCAGAACUGGCAGUUUCCAGAAGAAAGUCUGCAGGGGAGAGCCCGGGGGGCCGGAGGGCCAGGCACCCCCCUCGGCCAAGCCGGAAGCCCCGCUGCAGGAGCCCCCCUCUGCCUUCAAGGCAGGGCUGCACAUGGGUGAUAAUGCAAGACUGGAGAUCAGCAGCAGCAGCAGCAGCAGCAGCAGCAGCAGCAGCUUCUUCCAGCCGCCGCUGGAGACAGAGUCGGAGAUUGUCCGUCGGAUUCAGAUGCUCCUGCAGCUGCUGCUCAGCCUCCAGGCGGUGCUGGCCCAGCAGGACAGCUACGUGGAGGUGCAGCGGAGCGCUCUGCUGCUGCAGUCCACCCGCGGCGGCCUGCUGCUGGAGCAGGAGCGGCAGCGCAACUUUGAGAAGCAGCGGGAGGAGCAGGCCAGCGUCCAGCGGCUGCAGAGCCAGCUGAAGGCGGAGCAGCAGCGCUGGGGGCGGGAGCGGGAGCGCCAGCGGCGGGAGCUGGAGGCGGCCGAGGCCCGGCUGCGGGAGCGGGAGGAGGAGGGCCGGCAGCUGGAGGCCCGGCUGGGCCAGGAGCGGGAGGAGCUGGAGCGCCAGCGGGAGGCCUACCAGCACGACCUGGAGCGGCUGCGGGAGGCCCAGCGGGCCGUGGAGAAGGAGCGGGAGCGCCUGGAGCAGCUGCGCAAGCUCAAGAAGCCGCCCCCUGCCGCCACUGCCACCGCCACCGCCACCACCGCCACCUCUCGCGAGAUGAUGAUGACGAUGACGGGCCACGCACACACCGUCCUGAGCCACUCGGCCAGCUUCAACGGGGAAGGCCUGGAGUUGGGGGGCGCUCUGGCCACCCCCAGGGCAAGAGGCAGCGUCUCCAGGAGGGACUCCCCGGAGCGGGCAGAGCUGGCCCGCAGGGACAGCGCCGCCUCGGAAGGGCGCCCCCUGCUGGCCCUCAAGAGCGAGGUGCCCAUCCACCUCCUGAGCGCCACCAACCAGAUCCAGAAGCAGGCGGCCGUCCAGCAGCAGAUCCCCACCAAGCUGGCCGCCUUCACCAAGGGCGGCAAGGAGAAAGGCGGCAAAGCCCCCAAGGCCUCCCACAGGGCCGACAGCGCGGCGUCGUCGGUGGACCUGAGGCAGCUGCUCCCUCCCCGGAUGGCCAGCAAGGAGGAGUUGGCACCCUGGCCCAGGCGCUCCACCAGCCCGGUCUUCCUGCCCAGCCAGAGCGCGGCUUGCCUGCCAGGAGAGCUGCCCGACCCUGCGGAGAGCCAGCCGGAAGGGCUGCUGCCCGCCUCCGCCAACCUCUUCAAGCCCAACAGCGUCAGCGCUCUUCCACCUGCCUCGGAUGACACCAGCGAGGAGGACGUGAUCUUCUUCUGAUGGGCACCGGGGCGGCCGCUGAGCUUCUCGGACCAGCUUCUCCCAAGACUCUGGGGCGGGGUGGGGGGGCCCUCUGGGCUUCCCCCCGGGGGGCAGGGCGACACCAGCUUCCUGCCCCUUGCAGAGUCUGAGCAGCCGCUGUUGUCAGGUCCCCACAAGAGCCCCAGACCGUGUCCUGGCAAGAAGCCCUCCGCCCCCCCCCUUCCUCUGGGGCUGCCAGUAGCGUUGCCCCCGUUUGCUUUUUCUGUUGUCUUGGCAGUCUCUGUGGGCCGCAUCCCGAGUACCAUUUGUGCCAUGCUGAUAGUUGUUUUUUUACCAAUCUAAAAAACUUUUUCUACUGAAAAGAAUUGGAGCACUUUAGAGAGUGGGGGGCAUUUUUAAAAGCCGGUUUCUUCAUCCUGCUCGCCUCGUGUCCUGCCCUCCUGUCUCUCCCAAGGAACACGAACGUUCUCGGUUGGAUGGGUUAGCCUCCUCACGUGCAAAUUAGUUAGAAACCCCCCGCCCCAGUCCUGGUCCUGUUGCUCCUGGCAGGCUGCUCCUUCUUGCUCUCCAGUUCAGCCCUGUAUUCCUCUGUUUGUUGUUUAUUCUUGGCCAGCUGUUCAGUCUUCCCCAGUCGUUGUUGUAUAUAUAUAUAUUUCUAUAUUAAAAAAACAAAACAAAAAAAGAGAGAGAUUUUCUUUCUGUUUGUAUCGGUCCUCGUGUGUUCAGCCCUCCCAACCCCCCCCUCCUUCCCCGGGGGGCGCUUAUGGAGCAUUCCUCGGGGGGCUUUAACAGUUUUAGGAGGGCUGUUAACAUCCUCGUGCCCACGGGACGCCAUCUCCAGCGCUCUCCCCGGCACUCGAGGAGACCGGGCGAUCCUCCUCCUCCUCCCGCUCUCCUAGCCUCCAUUGACGGGCGCGCUCCUACCCACCCGGCCCCGGCCCCGGCCGACACUGUCCUGUCCGGGCAGGCAGUGGGAGCGGUCCUGCGGCCGAUCGCCCCCUCGAGGGGCGAGUCCUCGGGCACUACGGGGGAGAGAGCGGGCGCAGAGCUCCCAAGGCGCGGGAGGCGCAGCUCGGCUUCCCAGCGCGGCAGCGCCCAAGCGGAGCCGCUCUCUGCCUCCCUGAACAAGCGCCUCAGAGCGGGGACGGUGAGACCGGCCCCCAACCCGCCUCCCUCGCCAGCGGAGCUUCGCCAACAAGCGGAGCUGCAGCCCUCCUCGGCCAAGAUGGCGGCUUCUUCGUCCGACCACCGCGCACCACUAGCGGACGCUGAAUCAGAAAGGGCGGGAACGGCGGCCACUACUGCCUCCACCUCUACUCCUGCAAGCCUGAGGCGAUCAAGGCGGAGUGGGCUGCGCCAAGUGUUCCUGAGAAACCAACUUCGUCGGCCACCAGAUUCUACACCUCCCAGCAAGAGCCUUCCUCGCUACUGCAGACUCCGACCACCGACGCUCACAUCUCCCAGCUGAGCAGCGGAUCUCUGGUCCCGCGAGACGGGGAAGGGUUUUUGAAGGACGCCUCCGACAAAAAGGCAGAAUUCUCCUUCCGGCGGGUCCGCGACAAUUCCUCCCUGGCCACCCGGUCUUCUGCCGUGGCUUCAAUGACGGCCAGAGCCAGUCUGCUAGGGAUCAAUGACCUCCUCGACCAGACUCCCCCAGAAGCCGUCCGUCUUAGGCAACAGCUGUUAAAACUUCAGCGCGCACAAGCACUCAUCGCAGACCCGUCCCUCUAUUCCAUCCGCUAUUCAUCAGGGGCCUCCGCAGCAUCAGUAGUCGGCAGGCAGGUACCUCUGGCUGAAAGCUUGGCAAGCGGACUCCGCCUCCCCAAAUAACCUGCGCGCCCUGCCUUACGAGGGGUCCAAGCUUUUCGGCGACUCAGCUUUGGAAAAGGCCCGAGUCGAGUCUAAGGAUUAAAAGAAGACCAUGCCGUCUGCCCCACGAAAACCUGGCAAGACCUCCUCACGACCGACGCCAGCAACGGGGCUGGGGAGCCCACUGCCUCCAACACGCCGCGCAGGGGAAACGGGACUCACACGAGCAAUCCCAGUCUAUAAACUGGCUCGAACGGAGGGCCAUCCGCCUAGCCCUGCUUCAUUUGAACCUAGUUCUCACACGACGGGCGUGUGGCCGCCCGUUCAAAUAUGUUGUUGUUUAUUCCUUCCUAUGUUUAUCCUUCCGGUUUACUCGGCCUAGAAGGACUGGGGCAGGGUUGUCCCCGUCAGAGCGAUACAGGACUGUUUUUUUCUAACUAAUUUGCAUAGUCCUGCCCAGGAGCCCGUGGCGAGGAUCACCCAUCUUCAUGAGACGCCUUGACCGCAGCAACCAGAAGAAGCCCUCACGGUGAUUAACCAAUGCUUCGUUCCCCUGUCGAAGGAGCCCCGUUUGGGUCAGAACUCUGCUGUGUGCUGCCCUGUCGCCUGCCUCCAGAAGAAACGUCCGGCCCUCUCUGCCUCCGCUUGAUGACGCUGGCCAGCUGCUUCUUCAAGCUUUGCCCUGGGGGCUUUGCACGCACCCCCCACAGACACUGUAUGUAGUUCCUGCCUUGCCAGUUGUUCCAUGGAAGCCGCCGUUGGUAGCCCUCCUUUUAAUUUUAUUGUUGUGUUUUUAAAUAUUCAACUAUUUUUAAAUGGUUUUAAAUGUUCAACUAUUUUUUUGUCAAACUUGUGCACUACUUCAACAAUCAGAUGGGAUCCUGCCUCACUAAAUUACGGCAGUGACUUUUCAUUUUUAAAGCAAUGAUUGCUGUAUUCACUGCAGGAUGAUUUUGGAAUUUCUGAUGCAACUGAACCCUGGCAAUUAAAAUAAAAAAGAAUCUUA